UACGUAGGGGGCUAGCGUUGUCCGGAAUCAUUGGGCGUAAAGCGCGUGUAGGCGGUCCGGUAAGUCCGCUGUGAAAGUCGAGGGCUCAACCCUCGAAUGCCGGUGGAUACUGUCGGGCUUGAGUACUAAAGAGGGUCGCGGAAUUCCCGGUGUAGAGGUGAAAUUCGUAGAUAUCGGGAGGAACACCGGUGGCGAAGGCGGCGACCUGGGUAGAUACUGACGCUGAGGCGCGAAAGCGUGGGGAGCAAACAGG
rnacentral:rRNA from 1 species